AUCCAGAUGCUGAUGAGACUCCAUACAAAUAUGACAUCGAAGACGCUAGAAGCCUCCCCAAGGCCAGAUGUACUGACUGAGGCAUCUGAGAUUGGGAGGAUGGGCUCCCUCUGUGGUUCUCAACCCCGCUGUGAUCAUCCAAGGAAUGGUGAAAAAAAAUCCUGAAGUGUGGGUUCAUCCUCUGGGGAGUCUUAUUCAGAAACCGAGCCUUGAAGAUACUAUCAACAUGCCUACGUUUACAGAGAAAGCAAUCCUGGAUUGUGGCUGACUCCAAAGUCAGCUUGCCAGCGUGCAGUUCAAGUGAAUAAAUCUAACUCUCUACAGAGGAAAUUCCAUUGGAAAUACAGCUUUCUCCCCGUAAAUUGAUUCUACUCAAGACUUCUACUCAAGACAGGCCUAGUGGUGCGUGCAUG